GGCUCUCAGACCUCAAACUGGGAAUGCUGACCCCUUGGGCCUCAAAAAGCAGAGAAAAGAAUGACAUGUUCCUCAACCAACUCCCGAGCCAGAUCUGGGCACUGGAUGCUACCGCACUACACAUCCUCCAUGCCCUUUCUUAUUACCAGCUGCCCCCAAACUUCACCUGUUGCCAAAGCCACCACACAUUUGCCACUCAAUUCUGUGGUUUCCGCAGAUGAGAAGGCUGAUUUGAACUGAAACACAGGGGCAGAGAAGUGAAGGGUUAAUUUCCAAGAGCACUGCCCAGGUCUCCUCCCCAUUUCAACUUCUGUUCCAGGAGAAAAAGACCAAAGACCAAAGAGGCCAAAGACCUCAAGCAGGGCCUGUAGGACCCAAAGUAUUGGCAGGUGCCAGAGCCACUCCUCCCCACAUCCAGGAUUAAAGGAAAUAAUGUGUGUCCCAUGCUCAGCCCUGCACCUGCCACAGUAAGCACCUGGUGAGUGGGAGUAUCUGAUCUUGUUAUUGAGGAUGCAGAGGCCGACUCCCCUGUUCUCUGCUUCCUUCGCCCUCCCCUUGCCAACCUGCUUCAACACAGGAUCCUGCAGGACCUCCUCCUUUGCCAUAUGCUCCUUCAGCAGUUCUGUCUGCACAAUCCCCGGCCACAGAGACACACAGCUGACCCCAUGGCGCCGCAGCUCGUGGGCACAGUCAGCAGCCAGCUUGUCACACUGUGGAGAGGCGGAAGGCAGGGUAAGAGCCACCUAGCCAUGUCACUUUCCUGCCCUGCCCUCUCUGCUUCUACUGUGAAUGCUCCACCCACCCUGUCCUUCCCAGGAGCCCCAAGGUCUCAGCUGCCCACGCUCCCCAGUGUGAUGCCUACUCUAGCCAACCAAGAGGAGCACAAGCAAAGGAACUGUCCAUGGAUGAGGCAGAGGAGGAGCUGAGAGGAGCCAGCCUUACCAUUCUGACCACUGGGGAUUGUACCUCCUGAGCUAUAGUGUCUCGCUGUGUCGUCUAGACUGGAGUGCAGUGGUGUGA
rnacentral:lncRNA from 1 species